CACGAAGGCUUUGUUACGUUAUAGCUUAAUUUCUAUUUAGAACCAUAUUAAAUACAAAUAAAGCAGCGUUAGCGGCGCUAGAAAUAGCGAGUAUAUCGAAACCACAAUAUGACACAUGGGCCGCCCGCUUGACAUCGCAUUAAGUAGCAGCAAUUGUCUUGACAUCAGCAUUGUGAGCCUCGCUACCGAAGCCUCAUACUAAGCCCAAAUAGCACAGAAUAGUGUGUGCAGUGAUACGGUGAAGACACCCAACCUCCGUGUUCGACAACUCCGCAUAAUUUGUGUGGCACGAGAAAUUAAUCACCAUUGACGGUAAAAUAGACACCGUCAGUUAGCCAACAACGGACGAGUUGUUCGGAGACGAUCGCCACGUGUGCAAACAAUACUGGUCGACAUUUAGAUUAGUGGCACCAUUCGAUUUUCAUCCAAUCUCAAAGGUAUAUUACACGGCUGGCUACUGCAUCACCCAUAUUCUCAUAGUCUGUAUAUUGUUACAGCAAUUGCACGUGGCUUUACCAGAACGCAUAGGUUUUGCAUGUGGGAUCGCAUGUAUCACUAGGUAAGCCAUACUCGAUGCGAGAGCGUGCAUUCCACUGACCUUGACUUAACCUUUUAGUACACGACUGCAUCGAUAGACGAGGGCAUUAUCAUUGCAAAGCGCACAGAAAGGCCUUCGCACAAUCAGAAGGCCUUUCUUCCCUUUGCUAAAUUCGCAGCAUCACAGACUGAGUCACGUGGCAUGCGAGCGGAGCUCAGCAGCACACACGAAAGAACCGGCACAUAUCGACCGUGAGGAUCAAGCCAGGCACCUGCACCACAGCGAACGAUUGGAAUAAUCGGCACAGCGGACAUAGAACGGUCACACUAUUGGGAAAAGUGUAGGCACCAAUAUCCAACUCGGACGACGGCAAGCGGUGCGAGGUGGCGGGAUCCAGCGGGCGGCGUGUGUCAUCAUUAGACUCACAACAGAGAUGGGCCCAUCGUGAGUAGAUCGAUAUAAAGAAAACAGCAUGCUAUUAGAGUAGUUAGAAUAGGCUGGUAAUAGGAAUAUGGUUCUGAUACGAUAAUAAAUCAAUAUCUAUUGUCAUGAUUUGA